UCCUACGGGGGGCAGCAGUGAGGAAUAUUGGUCAAUGGGCGGGAGCCUGAACCAGCCAAGUCGCGUGAGGGACGACAGUCCUAUGGAUUGUAAACCUCUUUUGUCGGGGAACAAAGGCGCCCACGGGUGGGCGGAUGAGUGUACCCGAAGAAAAAGCAUCGGCUAACUCCGUGCCAGCAGCCGCGGUAAUACGGAGGAUGCGAGCGUUAUCCGGAUUUAUUGGGUUUAAAGGGUGCGCAGGCGGGAGAUCAAGUCAGCGGUAAAAUGUCGGGGCUCAACCCCGGCCGGCCGUUGAAACUGGUUUU
rnacentral:rRNA from 1 species